GAUGAAGAACGUAGCGAAAUGCGAUAAGUAAUGUGAAUUGCAGAAUUCAGUGAAUCAUCGAAUCUUUGAACGCACAUUGCGCCCGCUAGUAUUCUGGCGGGCAUGCCUGUUCGAGCGUCAUUUCAACCAUCAAGCCCCAGGCUUGUGUUGGGGGCCUGCGGCUGCCGCAGCCCCCUAAAAGCAGUGGCGGGCUCGCUAUCACACCGAGUGCAGUAGUUCAUCUUCUCUCCGGUCUUGUGAGGCGGGUUCCGGCCGUGAAACACCCCACUACAUUCAAGGUUGACCUCGGAUCAGGUAGGAAUACCCGCUGAACUUAAGCAUAUCAAUAAGCGGAGGA
rnacentral:misc_RNA from 1 species